rnacentral:lncRNA from 10 species
GACACUCGAGAGCGCCAAUUUUCCUAGAUUCGAUUUUGUGGUUUGGAACUGUGGUUUUGGAAUCCAGAGUAGUCGCCUCGUUCUAUAUCCAAUUGCUCCAGCACCAACUGGUGAAAAGACCAUCAUUCUUCUACUCAGUUGCAUUUGAAGCUUUGUCAAAAACCAGACACAAUUGGAGACACAGGUUCUUCUAUCAAGGCCUUGACUGGAAUGGCAUAUUUUCAGAUAUGACCACAUUGCUUUGAGGAAAUGAGGCUGAUGUUGCAGAGCUGAUAAAACCCCCACAGAAAGGCCAGCCUACCUCUGGUAAGUAAAAAAUGUCACUUUCUGGCAGGCCCAGGAACCUCAAGUUAUUUUUGGGCCUCAAGAAGAGAGGAAUACACCCAUUCAUACAGGUAUGACAGGCACAAUCGGAUAGCGAAUCCUUGACUUGGUUAGCCUCAGGGCUUAUAGAAGUCUAAUCUGAGAUUCCUUAUGAAAAGUGUCCCAGUGAAGCCAUCUUAAAAGGAGCCAAUAUGGCCAAUCCCUGCACUUUAUGCAAAUAGUCAGGUCAAGUUAAUGAGACUAAAUUUAUUUCACAAGUAAAUUGGCCCUACUUUGAUUUAUCCUUAGUAGAAAUGGGAAAACUGUUGAGAAAAACUAUGUUUCAGAAGAAAACUAUAGUAUGCUCAUUAUUAGACUGUAGCCUUAAUGAUUGUUUCUGAGUUUUAUUAUUUGCCUAUAAUUCAAACUGAAUCCUGAAUUAUUUCCUGGCUACAAAUUUCUAAAG